rnacentral:rRNA from 1 species
UACGUAGGGGGGCAAGCGUUGUCCGGAAUCAUUGGGCGUAAAGCGCGCGUAGGUGGCCCGGUAAGUCCGCUCUGAAAGUCAAAGGCUCAACCUUUGAAAGCGGGUGGAUACUGUCGGGCUAGAGUCCGGAAGAGGCGAGUGGAAUUCCUGGUGUAGCGGUGGAAUGCGCAGAUAUCAGGAGGAACACCAACGGCGAAGGCAGCUCGCUGGGACGGUACUGACACUAAGGCGCGAAAGCGUGGGGAGCGAACAGG